rnacentral:rRNA from 1 species
AUUGAACGCUGGCGGCAGGCUUAACACAUGCAAGUCGAGCGGAGAUGAGGUGCUUGCACCUUAUCUUAGCGGCGGACGGGUGAGUAAUGCUUAGGAAUCUGCCUAUUAGUGGGGGACAACAUUCCGAAAGGAAUACUAAUACCGCAUACGCCCUACGGGGGAAAGCAGGGGAUCUUCGGACCUUGCGCUAAUAGAUGAGCCUAAGUCGGAUUAGCCAGUUGGUGGGGUAAGGGCCUACCAAGGCGACGAUCUGUAGCGGGUCUGAGAGGAUGAUCCGCCACACUGGGACUGAGACACGGCCCAGACUCCUACGGGAGGCAGCAGUGGGGAAUAUUGGACAAUGGGCGGAAGCCUGAUCCAGCCAUGCCGCGUGUGUGAAGAAGGCCUUUUGGUUGUAAAGCACUUUAAGCGAGGAGGAGGCUACCUGGAUUAAUACUCUAGGAUAGUGGACGUUACUCGCAGAAUAAGCACCGGCUAACUCUGUGCCAGCAGCCGCCGUAAGAC